rnacentral:rRNA from 1 species
GAUGAACGCUAGCUACAGGCUUAACACAUGCAAGUCGAGGGACCGGCGCACGGGUGAGUAACACGUAUCCAACCUGCCCUUUACUCGGGGAUAGCCUUUCGCAAGAAAGAUUAAUACCCGAUAUAAAGGAUGGGGAUGCGUUGCAUUAGGUUGUUGGUGAGGUAACGGCUCGCCAAGCCUUCGAUGGAUAGGGGUUAUGAGGGGAAGGUACCCCAGAUUGGAACUGAGACACAGACCAAACUCCUACGGAGGGCUGCAGUAAGGAGUAUUGGUGAAGGGAGGCUAGGCUGCACCAGCCAAGUAGCGUGAAGGAUGAAGGGUUGUUGGUCGAAAACUACUGUUAUAUAAGAAUAUGUAUUAUAUGAAUAAGAAUCGGCUAACUCCGUGCCAGCAGCCGCGGUAAUAC